AGAGCCACUGUGGAGGAUUACCAAAUGCUUUUGAGUUUUCCUGAGUAUUUUAAAGGAAAUUUGGGAUACUGAGAAAUGAUAUUCAGGCAGAAAACUGAGUGUUUAAUCUUUGAGAUAGAACUUGAAGGAUAUGUAAAAUUUCAACCAGCCAGAGAAAGAAGAGUAAGAACAUUUCAGAAGAAUACAGCAGUGUGAAGAGACAAGAAAAACCCAGGGGCAGACUAGAAUUGCAGUGCACAGAUACAAGAAUGUUGCCUGCUUUGGAGCCAAGACUGCCUUCCGGAUAAAGGGCCCACAGAGAGCUGAGAGCUGUGUAAUACCUCAAAGACUGAAGAAAAGAGUUAGACAGCCAUCUUUCCUUAGAGGAUUUUGCUGCAGAUAGCUUGAACUACCAGAAGGUUAUAUACUGACCAUGGGUAGAGAAAGGAAGAAAUACAUCCUUCGGAAAGGACAAUGAAGAUCUUUACAGCAGGGAGGUGAGGACAAAGUGAUUCUCCCUUCUGGAGGAUGCAGCAAAGUGCUGCCUGCCAUCUUGGAAGCACAGAGUAGCCUUCACCACACUCUAAUCCCAUCAGAGCCUUGAUCUUGGACUUGCCAGCCUUCAGAACAGUCUUGCCUCAUCACUGCCAUGACAGGGGGGUCCAAUGUGAGGAUUCUGGUGUCUAUGCCAAGCAUCUCUUUUCCAACGUAGAUCUGAUUUCUUAACAUAGCCAACAGCAAGUCAACAUCAGCUUUGCAGAGAAAAGCAGGGAUGCGUGUGCACAAAGAAAAGGCCAUGUGAGGACAUAGCAAGAGGGAAGCUGUCUGCAAGCCAAGGAAAAAGGCCUCAGGAGAACAAAUCUGCCAAUACAUUGAUCUUGGACUUCCAGCAUUCAGAAAUGGAGACUUGUAUUUUCUGACAUUCAACUUAAUCGAAGAAUAAAGCUUUAACAGUGGCAUCAGUGACAUGAUGGAUGACGCAUCAUUUUGAAGUAAUAAUGGUUUUCCCAGUGACUCAGAAAUAGCAGUAUGUUCAGAUUCAGUGUGCCUGUUCAUGAGAGCUCUGCAGAAAUUGCACAUCUGGCUCUUUGCCUGUGCACCUGAAGUUAUCUCAGGAGAAAUUAUACAAAUUAAAGACAGACACAGAGAAGGUCUUUUUUAAUUCAAAGGAAAAGAAUAUAUAUUCAAGAAAAGCAAAAAAGGUAAGAGAAAAGGUAAGGGACUGUAGUGAUAUUAAGCUAGGAAACUAACAAAAUGAUGACAAUAUAAAAUAAAUGAUGUGAAAAGAACAACAAAAACAAUAUAAAGUAGAAAUGAAAAUAUAUUGUGUUGGCUCAGGAAAAUAUUUAAAUUACUUUCUUCUAUUCCAUAGGUGGAAGUUGGGCCUUUGGUCAUUAAUUCUCUCUCUCUCUCUUGCUAAUUUUUGCAAAUAGGGAGAACUUGGAACAUUUGCCAAAUGUUUUAUUUUGUGCUUUAUUUUGGCUACCUGUUUAUUCCAUAGA